GACACGGCCCAGACUCUUACGGGAGGCAGCAGCAAGGAAUUUUCCCCAAUGGGCACACGCCUGAGGGAGCAACGCCGCGUGGAGGACGACGGCCUUCGGGUUGUAAACUCCUUUCGGGUGGGACGAGCAUGACGGUACCACCAGAAGCAGCCCCGGCUAACUCUGUGCCAGCAGCCGCGGUAAGACAGAGGGGGCAAGCGUUGUCCGGAGUUACUGGGCGUAAAGGGCGCGGAGGCGGUCUGCUGCGUCGGCGCUGAAAGCGCCCCGCUUAACGGGGCGAGGCGCGCCGAUACGAGCAGGCUGGAGGCGAGCAGAGGGUGGUGGAAUUCCGGGUGGAGCGGUGAAAUGCGUAGAGAUCCGGAGGAACGCCGGUGGAGCAGUCGGCCACCUGGGCUCGACCUGACGCUGCGGCGCGACCGCGUGGGGAGCAAACCGGAUUAGAUACCCGGGUAGUCCACGCCGUAAACGAUGCCGGCUCGGCGUUUGGCGCGCGUGAGCGUGCUGGGCGCCUUAGCU
rnacentral:rRNA from 1 species